rnacentral:rRNA from 1 species
GAUGAACGCUCGCUACAGGCUUAACACAUGCAAGUCGAGGGGAAACGAUGAGAGAGCUUGCUCUCUUAGUCGUCGACCGGCGCACGGGUGAGUAACGCGUAUCCAACCUGCCUCUGACCAAGGGAUAACCCGUCGAAAGUCGGACUAAUACCUUAUGCAGUCGUCGGAAGUCAUCUGAUGACGACGAAAGAUUUCAUCGGUGAGAGAUGGGGAUGCGUCUGAUUAGCUUGUUGGCGGGGUAACGGCCCACCAAGGCGACGAUCAGUAGGGGUUCUGAGAGGAAGGUCCCCCACAUUGGAACUGAGACACGGUCCAAACUCCUACGGGAGGCAGCAGUGAGGAAUAGUGGUCAAUGGGCGUAAGCCUGAACCAGCCAAGUAGCGUGCAGGAGGACGGCCCUAUGGGUUGUAAACUGCUUUUAUGCGGGGAUAAAGUGAGGGACGUGUCCUUCAUUGCAGGUACCGCAUGAAUAAGGACCGGCUAAUUCCGUG